rnacentral:lncRNA from 1 species
GCUGAGUUACCUUUGCUUCAGUACAUGCCGCUGGUUUAGCAAGCCAACCAUUUCUUGCUGCCAUUUAGCUACCCUUUAUAAUGACUUGUAAUUCAGAAAUGACACACCCCCCAUUUCGCCGAGCUCUCAAUUGAUGAGUUCAGUUUACCUGGAACUACUAUUUUUCUGUUAAACUCUUUCAGAAUUCUUUGUUCUUGUCCAGUAUGAAUUGUAUGCAGUAUUCUUUAUUCACCAUUGUUGGAACCCUAGGUGUGCCUACACAACCUGCAUGCCGCCAGAGCCGGACCUAGCCAGCGGGGAGCCAGAUCCACCCAUAGGGAGGCCGAAUCCGGGCCGCCAACCACCACCAUGAGGAGCACGACAACAGCGCAGGUCUUCACCUGGAGAGGGAGAGAUAGAUAGAGGGAGGGAGGGAGGGAGGGAGAAAGAGAGAUAGAGAGGAAGGGAGACGCCUGGCCACCGCCAUCCUUGCCCUCCACCAGAGCUCUGGUGGCGAGCUUUGGCAGCGGCCAAGAUAGAAAGGGCGAGGGAGGGCCUUGAGUGCGGGGGGUGACAGGCUAAUAGCGCCACCCGAGUCACCCUCCGGGGAGAGCGACGUGGGGGCCAAAAGGUGUGCUGGCCCUACCAUUGUAUAAGUUAUGCUAGUAACUUAUAACGUUUCUUUUGUUCUAUGCAUAGAUUAAGUAGUUGUGUUUACUGCAUGGCAAUUUAAAAGGACAACUCACUAUAGAAGUUGUCUAUUAAGUUGACUCAUAAUUACAUGGAACUACAAGGUGAUGUCGAACUUCUAGGGGAUAGCUCGAAGAUAUGAAAAGCAUUGUGAUGUAUCAAGCGAUACUAUGGGGAAAAAAAGCUAUGGAUCCAUAUUAUAGAAGAUGCAAGAUCAAGAACUUAAAUCUAUAAGAGAGUAGGAACUGGAUAAGACUUGAACAGUGGUUUUAUCACCAAUAAUAGAGGUCAGAAAGAUUUGACUGAAGACCACUCCUACUUGAUUUGGCCGUAAUUGAAAUUGCGUGACCACGAAAAGAGAGAAAAGAAAGAUAAGAGUUAGCUUUAAUCAGAGUUAAAGUUCAUCCCAGUAGAUAGAAUAAAGACGCGUCAAGUAAAAACAGCUAUAAUAAUGAUCAAAUAAAUGAAACUAUUAAAAAAGGCAUUUGAAUAAAAAUUUAAAUACUCCUUCCAUCCCAAAUUAUAAAGUAUUCUGAGAAUCUUGCAUAAAGCAUCUUAAGUUUGACAAAAAUUGUAAAAAUAAAUUAUAAAGAUUUGUGACAUCAAAUAAAUAUAUUAUGAAAAUAUAAUUAACGAAGAACCUAAUGUUAUUUAGUUAAUAUCAUAAAUGUAAAGCAAAAUACUCUCUAAGAUUCUUAUCAUAUAAAUUUAUCUUAUCAUAUAAAUUUGGUCAAACUUAAAAUACUUGGACUCUCUAAGAUUCUUGGAUGUCUAAAUUGAUAUGGGAUGGAGGGAUUACAAUAAUAAGCAAAAUACUCUCUCCAUUUCCAAUUAUAAGACAAUUCAAAAAUCUUGAAGAUUCUAAGCAUCUCAAAUUUAUCUAAAAUUAUAGAUAAAAUUAUAAAGAUUUAUGACAUAAAAUAAAUAUACAAUAAAAAUAUAAUUAAUGAAGAAUCUAAUAAUACUUAGUUAGUAUAAUAAAUGCUAUUAUCUUAAUAUAUAUGUUUGAUUGGACUUGAGAUAUUUUGACUUUCCAACAUUUUGAGAAUAUAUUAUUAUUUGGAACGGAAGGAGCAGCUAUCUACACUCUUUGCACGGGCGGCCCGGGCUCUACAGGUGUCCAAGUGCUUAUCAUCACCAAUUACGAUAACUCUGAAUUUUAGGUUGGGUGCUUUGGUGUACAAUUCUACGGGGACAUCUUUGACUUUACCGUGCAUAACGAUCACGGUACAUAUUGCAGCACCAGCGAAGGGAUGUCCACCUUCCUCCAUCGGAUGUCUGAUAGUCACACUGCUGUCACUGCAACAACAGCGGCACCAGAUGCCGACACCACAUGCCGAAUCCGAAGCCCCCGCCAGGCCCCGGCCCUGAGUGAACUGAUCGAAAAAAUUAGUAGGAGCCUGUAUAUUUCUUUCCAAAAUGAUGACGCUAACACUCUGACAUGUCCGAUGGCAUUUUGCAGUUUAGUGAUCCGCGCGCGUGCAUGCUUCGUCUGCCAAAAACCCAGGUGCUGAACCCCGCUGUUGUACUAAAAGAAGGCCAUGCUGAUUUACCUAUUUUUGGCUUAACCUUUGACGUUCAUUUUAAAAAUGUUUGCAAUCAAUUAUGCUGCUUUUGAUCUUGACCGAGUAUCAAGCGCGUGUCCAUAUUUCGGUGGUAACACAAGAACCUUGCAAGCUUCCAGUAAAAACAUACAGACCAUUGAAUGAGGUUCUAUUUUAAUGAAAUGAAUAUCUUUGGGUGGACUUAGUGGCCAUAUGGAUGCAUCGUUUAGCAUAUCUCUAGUUUCGAAAAUUGAAAAAUGCGAAGCUUACCAAUUGAUCAAAAUGUGAAGCACCUAUUAUCUCAUUAAACCUCUCGCUUUGGAGAUUUAGAUGUUGCCACUCAAGAUGUGUUAGUCCCUCUGUAUUGUAUAGUAGUGUCUGGCUAAAACUCUGUUUGAUGAGAGUAAUAUAUAUCUUUUCCCGUUUGUGGUGGCUAGCUAGUCCGGUUUUCCCUUUGUAAUAUUUCAGUGAAGCAAAGCGAAGUUAGCGGCUUUGGGGCCGUGAAGAGGAAACUAGGAAAGAGCAUCCUGGGAGCCUGACGCCCACGCUUGGGGACAAAAGAAGAGGCUGACUGGAUUGCGAAAUUCCGUGUUGUAUUCUGUAACAACUGAUGAUUCUUCGUUACUUGUGGAUGAUGGGCAAUCCCACAUUCGGAGUCUGGUACCGCUGAGGCCUGAACACUUUGUGGGCAUGAAACGAAGUGCCAGGCCUGGAAGCUUUCUUCUUGCCUCCGGGCUCCGGCCGCCAGUCCCAAAGAAACCGAAGAAGACCUGAACCUGCAGUGGUAUUGACUGUGAUAGCAAUCAGUGGUACCUGGAGUAGUGCUAGCCUUUUAGCUCAUCUGCCGCCGCAGCCCGCAGGCAGGCAUGGACCGACCGACGCAUGGCGCAGAUUUUGUUCGUGACACCGACUGCAACAACAGCGCGCCACCAGAUGCCAACGCCACAUGCCGAAUCCCAAGCCCCCCGCACCCCCCCCCCCCCCCCCCGAGUGCACUGAGGCCUUGUUUAGUUUCAAAAAUUUUGCAAAAUUUUUUAGAUUCUCCGUCACAUCAAAUCUCUAGACGUAUACAUAGAGUAUUAAAUAUAGAUAAAAAUAAAAACUAAUUGUCCAGUUUGGUCGGAAUUGACAAGACGAAUCUUUUAAGCCUAGUUAAUUCAUAAUUGGACAAUAUUUAUCAAAUACAAACGAAAGUGCUACUAUUUCUAUUUUACAAAAAAAAAUUUUGGAAGUAAACAAGGCCUGAAAAAACGUGUACUAAGUAAGAACUGCAGUACUGGGCCUUGUUUAGAUCCAAAAACUUUUUGGAUUUUGACACUGUAGCACUUUCGUUUUUAUCAUUAUCCAACUAUGGAGCAAUUAGGCUUAAAAGAUUCAUCUUGUGAUUUACAGUUAAACUGUGCAAUUAGUUAUCUUUUUUAUCUAUAUUUAAUGUUCCAUGCAUGUGCCGUAAGAUUCGAUGUGAUGGGGAAUCUUGUAUAGUUUUAGGUUUUUGGGUGUAUUGGCCUUAAGAACCUGUAGUUAAACUGACGACGACGCUAACACUCUGACAUGUCCGAUGGCACUUUGCAGUUCAGUUCAGUGAUCCGCGCGCGUGCAUGAUGGCCUCGUCUGCGCCAAACGCAGAUGCUGAAGCAGAGAGAGGCGAUCGAUCAGAUCCAUCCAAAACGCUCCUCCAGCUAUCUGCUGUGUUGUCGCGCGGCACAUCGUUUUCGCUCGAAUAAAACCUGUAGUUAUGACGGUAUCGAUCGGCGUUUCAGUUGUAGGCAAGGCAGAGGCAGCAUUCAAGUGUCCGCAUCAGGGUUGACAAACUUAGGUAGCGAGAGCUAGCAACUGUGUGUUGUAGGUAUCGUAACGUACUGUACCCAAAAAGACAACUUAAAGUAGAAGCAUGUGGGAAGUAGUACUUAUCACGGUGCUGAUUGGGUAGAUCUGCAGGGAGGAGGAGUGACCUAACCUAACAUGGUUUCCCUACACUACAUACACUAGCAAGCAAGCAGCAGGAGCUCGCAGCGGUACGUACUACGUGGUCUCCACUCCAGGAAGGCGCCUACUCCAUGUAACAGCCACCAACAUAUAGCAGUAGCUAGCAGACCGAUGUACCUCUACCUCCUGCGCAGGCACGGCACGGACCAUCCAGUAGUCUUCUCCUGUACCUGUAGUAGUUACGAGUAUGAAACAUGCAUGCAUGCAUGCAUGCGCCCAUGCAUCCCCCCGCCCCCGCUAGUGAUUUGUGUGGGCGCCCUUCCUGUUAUUCUAGGAGUAUGUAUCUACUACUAUCAAAGUGUUUUAUUUUAACGUGGGGGAGUCGUUGUUUUAUCACACCAAAUGCAGCCAAGUACGGCACUGUGCGUUAACAGCGGCACAUGGCGGCAUGGCACGGUGAAAAAAAAGAAGGGAAAAAAACCCCACGAGGACACAGUGGCCCUGCUACUGUUUGGUUGGGUUAAUGGCGGGCCGGCGGGCGGCGACCCAACGCCGGCCGAAUCUUUGCCGCUACCAGUAGCUAGUAGUAGUAGUAGAUCUCAGGUCAGGUUGUGAUUGGAGAUGCUUUUCUUCCUGAUCAUGCAGUCAUCUCUCUCCCUCUACAGUGCGUGUCAGGCAUUAUAAUACGCCGUUCUGGGUGGUGGGUGCAGAUCUAACGCGGAUCCACACCCACUUUGCGAUUGCGGAUCUGGAAGAAAGGUGAGCAAUGCAACAGGCGAAGGAAGCCACAGCACCACCCCGCAGCAUGCGCCCUUGUUUGUUCUUCUGUUAAAUAUAAAAGCUUCGAUUGAUAGCGGCCCGGCCCGGCCGGGCGGGGCAACACAAAAGGCGUCCAAUCCUUGAGUGGCCGCUUAACGGUUUCGGUUGCGUGCGAAAGUAGCGUCGUCAUCUGCACGUACGUACUGGUAGUAGUAGUAGUAGAUUGGAUUUCAGAUAAUGUAUUUUAAGGAUGCACAGUAUUAAGCAGCUGCUGCAUCAUUACGACGGGCGGCCUCGCUCGUCUCGCUCUCGUCUCCGUGGACGGCAACCACACCACGCGUGCUGCCGCGACUGCAAUGCGGUUGUUGCACUUGCUGCCGUGCCAUGCCGCUUGGUACACCGCGCGCCGAGACCAAAGGCAACAAAUGAAACGGGGGACGGAGGAGCAAGCAGAGCAGAGGGCCGGGGCGUGGCAAAGCUCGAUGGGGCCCGCCGCCUCCGCACGUCUCGCGGGGUGGUACUACGCGGCUACGGACCGCAUGGGGCCGCGAAUAAUUAAGCGCGACCUGCCACUGGCAAGGCUCACAUGGGCGGGAUUAUUAGCCCGCCACCGCCACGCCUCCUCCGGCCCCCGCGCACCUACACGAGCACGAGUAAUGGCCACGCGCCGCCACCACCUCACCACCUGGCCUUGCCUGCCUGCCUGCCGAGCUGAGGCCCCGCCCCGCCCCGGUUCCUUCCGUUUCCUCACUUCGCGGCCAGGGCUGCUGCCGCUUCACCUCGCUUGUCCGCUCCGCUCCGCCUCGUCUCGUGCAGUGCCGGGCCGUGGUGCGUGCGAAAAAGGCAAAAGCCGCUCGUCGUCGUCCGGUCCAGCUGCGGCGCGCAUGGGGCCCGGGCCCGUGCCGGUGAAACGUUCUUUGGCCGGAGUAGUAGAAAAAGUUUAGGACUUGUUUAGUUCGUAAAAUUUUUUGUUUUAGGUUACUGUAGCAUUUCGUUUUUAUUUGACAAACAUUGUCCAAUCACGGAGUAACUAGGCUCAAAAUAUUCAUCUUACAAAUUAUAGAUAAACUGUGCAGUUAAUUUUUUUUUGUUUAUAUUUAAUGUUCAAUGCAUGCGACUAAAAAUUUGAUGUGACAUAAAAUCUUAAUUUUUUUUGCAAACUAAGGCCUUGUUUAGAUCCAAAUUUUUUUGGAUUUUGAUACUGUAGCACUUUUGUUUUUAUUUGACAAACGUUAUCCAAUCAUGAAGCAAUUAGGCUUAAAAGAUUCGUCUCGUGAUUUACAAGUAAACUGUGCAAUUAGUUAUCUUUUUUAUCUACAUUUAAUGUUCCAUGCAUGUGCCGCAAGAUUCGAUGUGAUGAAGAAUCUUGUAAAGUUUUGGAUUUUUGGGUGUAUCUAAACGUGACCUUAUUUGUUGCCGGCGCAGAUAAGACGGAAUCUCGGGGACAAUGAAAAUACUACAGCGCCCGCCCGGCCUGUACAAGAGUUGGGCGACGGCGAGUACGUACUGAGCUGUAGCAGCCACUGCUAGACUGAACAGUGGUGCUUCCUACGGUCUACGGAGUAGUAGUGUGCCUGUACCCCGUGCCAGUAGUGUACCGCGUUUCCCGUGGCAGUUUCUCUUAAGAGAGAGAGAGAGAGAGAGCGUACGUACACAGGUAGAGCAGCCGUAUGCCCGUAUGUAUGGCAGAGUGUAAAGUAUCGUCGUAGGAGUAUCUCGGAUGGGGCGGGGGUACCGUACCCAAAAAGACGGAAGGGACGGGGGGAGGCAGCCGCAGCUGGCAGCGCUGGGUUGGUGGGUGGAUCUACCUAUACCUAUCCUAUCAGAUCAGGGGACGGGAUGGGCCCAGGCCCAGCACCGGCGCUGUCACCGCCACCAACGCCUCCACCACCACCCGAUCCAUCCAUCCAUCCAUCAGGGCGGGCGGGCGAGGCGUGCAUGUGAGCAUCAUGUGAUGGAACAAUUCCAUUCCAUUUGGACGCACCCGUGCUUUUUUCCUCUUGUGGUAUCGCCUCCCCACCCUCGCAGUCGCAGUUGCAGACAGAGCAGAGAGCACCCCCCGCGGCCGCCCCCCUCUCGUAAAAAGCAACGCAGCCACAGCACCCCAGCAGGCAGCCACCACCACCACUACUCCACUACCAAUUGUACUGCUACUAGUUAGCUACUGCAGAGUGGUAGUACUCCUAUAUACUAGCAGUACUGUAAAGAGGCCGGGUUAGGAUCUCGCUGGCUCAUCAGAGUUCUUGAUUUGCGACGACGCUAGCUAAUGGCUAAAAGCCAGCCGGUUUGGCAAAGGCAACAACAAACAGGGAGGGGAGUCGUUAUCCAUGAGUUUAUGGCGGGCAUCUGCGAGGUGGAAAAGUUUGGUACACUGCUUUGCGCGGGAGCGAGCACUGGCAUGGUAGCUGUACUGGCCAGGGUACACUACACGUAUUUUUAUGGGUCCUGAGAAAAUGGCAGUACCAGUACGCAAGUACACAGAGUUUUUUUUUUCACAUCAAACGCCGUGCUUUAGUAUUAGUUAGUGAGCCCUGUCAGGAGGGGGGGGGGGGGUCUUAAAUCAACAUUAUGGCACGUCACAUGGCACUAGUGUACCACUACUCCAAAUCCAAUGUAUUUAUGUACCAAUGUCCACAUCCACCACCUCCGCCGGCUGCCAUGCAUGCAUGUCCAUAUAUGCAUGGUAGUAGUGGUUGUGGUAUUUGCGUAGCUGGCUUUGUAGAUCCGAUGCGUACCACCAGCCCAGUAGUGCAAUACAGUACGUGUUGAGCAAUGAGGUGCGUGCCAUGACCAUCAUCGAGCAAGGAUACCUGUCCUGUCCCCUUUUUCCUCCCAUCAAGCACGGCCCCCGCCCCUACACACACGCUGCUUGUACCGCAACAGAGGCGUACCCUUCAAGUCUCCCUUUCCCUAUCCAUCUCUCUCAGAUGCAGCUGGCCAGGUGCAGCGGGUAGCCAGGUUAUUUUCUAGCUAGCUGAUUCAGCAGCCAGCUAGCUAUAGCCUCGUUUGAGCCCCAACCGGUGCGUCAAGCCUCGCCCUGGCUUUCACUGAACAUGCCACACAACACAUGCAGGCGAUACACGCAUGAAGCUAGCAGAGCAGCGAGGAGAUGGGCCGGAGUGGAACGCAUGCAUGCAUGCAUGCAUAUGGUCGCGUUGGGGCCGGGCCAUGCCACAGCCAGUUGUGUGCUGUGCCCGGCCUGUGCGCUCCCAUUAGCGGCAACCAGAUCUGCACAUUUUCGGGCAACAGAGCUGGCAUGAUGCGUGUCGUACUUGCACACUACCCGGGCCCCCGUCGUCUUCGUCGCCACCGCCCAGCCGGCCGGUGGCAGAUCGAUGGAUCCCGGGCGGAACGGAAGGAUCAUCGGAAGACGGGAAGAGCUUUUCGCGGUCGGUCGGUCGCGCGGCCGACCACCAUGAUCUCGACGCGAUGGUUCCUUCGGUGCUAGCUAGGGCGGGGCGGGCCUCGCGCGGCACAGUUUGGCUCGUCGCUUGGUCCGCGGGCGCAUCACAUGACGCAUGUUGGGUACUUCGAUCUGGCUAUCUCGAUCUCAACGGAAAGCUAGCGACGGGACAGGGUCGCGGACUGGUGAUACAUCCUUGUUACGGCGGCGUUUCGGCCGGACGGGAGGGGACUGCGGCCGUGCAACAGCAAACACUCCUGCCUCUCGUUCCUGCAGGUGUAGGGCGGCUGUAGGAUUCAAGUCCUGCCUGCCAGAAAAACACACGCGCCUCCGUUUCAAGACUGCUACAGCAAGGCACAACCGAUGCUCGUUUCCCAGGGUACAGGUACAGGUACAGGUACAGCAAGCAGCCAGCAGCGCAUGCAUGUAGAAGGAGAGGUCAGAGAUGUCGCGGCGAGACAACAAACAAAAGCUCACGCUGUUGACGUGAACGAUCCGGGCAUGCAUGCAUGCACGCACGCAUACGGACGCAGCAACAGACGGGGAAUUCUCCGGUUCUCCCACCCUGCCCCUUGUACUCUCCACGCACGCCACUGCCCACUGCCCCCUGGCCUGACAUCACCGGAACGCCCAGGCCACCAGAAAAAAAGGGGUCCAGAAAAACCCCCACAGCCACAGGGAUAGGGGUCAAACGGCCGGCCGCUGUAACUUUCACCCAGGGCCCGGCCGGACGGCCGGCAGGGCGGCGGCGGCUUUCGUGCUGAGGUCAAAGCAAAAGGGACGCUCGAUCGAAUCAAACGUAGCCGGCCGGCGGCCGCUUCAUUAAACUAGUAGUCCGAAAUUCACCGGCCCCGGGCGCCACCGCAACCGGUCGCCGGCCACUCGCGUCGCGAGCCCUGCCUGUCACCUCCUCGCGCGGCGGCGACUGCUCCCGCUUUGACCGCGGGAGGCGGAUUAGCGUAGGGAGUGGUGGAUUAGGGCGCUGGGAUGUUAAAAGAGGAGACGUGGGUGCAGUGUAAACAAGCCAACUUUCCCGUUUACCGGGGCGGUAACUUUACCGCCAUGACAAGACAGCAGUCCUUAUCCACAACGGACACCCUGGCACCCGGAUUGAAUACAAUAUAUAUGGAUGGAUGGGAGUCAUAAAAGUUUAUUAUUAGUACUACUAGUAGUAAAAUACUCUGCUGCUCAGGUAUUUCCAGAAUUUGCUUCAGAGCCAAGAUAUAUAUAUAAAAGGAAAAAUGCUUGCUGCUCUCCGGGCGGCUGCUGCUGCUCACUCUCUCAGGUCAAAUCACCUUUGAUUAUGCGUCCCACAUUACAUUAUUAUCGCAAAAGAUAAUGUACCAAUAAUGUAAGCUGCCAGCCAGAGAAGGAAAAAAAAACCACGCGCGCAGAGAGAGAGGUCGAUGGCAAUGCGUUGUCGCUUUUCGUUUCUGUCGCGUUUCAACGUGGGGUAAAAAUGGUCGUGCUGCGUUGGCCUACCACGCCCUUGGCUUUCGGUCAUCGCCCACUUUGGGUCUUGUUUACUUGCAAAAAAUUUUGCAAAAUAUAAAUAGUAGCGUUUUCGUUUGUAUUUGAUAAAUAUUGUCUAAUUAUAAACUAACUAGGCUCAAAAGAUUCGUCUCGUCAAUUACGACCAAACUGUGCAAUUAGUUUUUAUUUUUAUCUAUAUUUAAUACUUUAUACAUACGUCUAAAGAUUCGAUGUAAUGGAAAAUCUAAAAAAUUUUGCAAAAUUUUUUAGAAGUAAACAAGGCACAUGGUUGGAGAUUCUUUUCCGCCCCCAGCCCCAGCCCCGUCCCGUCCCCCCUCCCCUCCACCACCACUCCACGUCCACGCCCUGAAUCCUAGAGAGAGGGAGGCCAGCCAGCCAGUCGCAAGUACACUGUGAAAAAAACAUUCCAUUAUAACAACAGAGAAAAAAAAAAAGUGGGAUGGCAAGCCAAGUACAAGCUCUGCGACGUGUUCAGCUGCUGGAUCUAUCCACGUACGUGCGCGCCAGUGCAAUCCAUUAUCUAGCAGUACUAUUUAUUUGAGAUUCUCCCAUUUCUGACACAGGAUAUAUAUAUACAUGCAUUUUGAUUGAAUCAUCUAAAAUCACACAGGUUUUGAAAUCCCUGCGAUGGCCGGCCCUUAGAGCCGCCAAUAGGCACCGUCCAGAUCCAACCAAUCGGUUAAACUCUUUUUUUGAGUCUCAAAUUACGAGGCAGGAGGAGCCGUCCAAUGGGAAGGUGACAAUUUUUAUUUAAAAACGCAACUGGCUGAUUUUCGAGAUAACAGUGGGAUUAAGCAUGGUAACCGAGGUAACAGUAAAAGCGUAGAAAAGGGUAAAGGUAACUAGCGAGCGAUUUGGCACUCCAACCCCGGGGCUAAGCACAUGGGUGUCCCGUCCAUAUAUAUACGCCUUUCCCCCCCCACCGGCUGCAGGCCUCGCCCCCCAUGCCCUCCCCGUCUCACUGACGGUGGCCCCCCACCCGCCCGGCCCCGCUCGUCGGCGAGCCCCUUCCCUUCCUUCCCCCUCGCUCCAUCGGACCACCGCUGUCCCGGGCAAGAGAUCCGGCCAACUCAGGUGAGCUCUCUCGCCGCGCGCCCGGCGCCGCCCGCCGAGCGGGCGGUCGCCACAUUUUCGUUCGCUUUUUUUUGGGCGAGGUGACGGUGACGCGGAGUGUAACCGCUUUCCUCGUCGUCCGUACCUCGCAGGUUGCUCGGAAGGCCGGCGAGCCGCGCGUGCUGGGCGCCGGGAUGCAGGCGGCCGGCGCCAGCCGGUGGCCCGGAUCUCGCCGGCGGCGCGUCUCGGCGAGGUGAGGCGGCUCAAUUCUCUCGUGUUCAUCUCUUUUCGUUUCCGUUCCAAAGCGGGGUGCCGUUUUUUUUCGGGUUGUUAUUGUUGUCUGUUAGUAUUAUUAGUUUUUUUCCUUUGCUCUUAUCGGUUUCAGAGUGUGUGCAAACUGAAACCGAAGUGGUGAGCUGCAAAGAAACUUAUCUUUUGCUGGCGGCGUAGUUCCUUCUGGUGGAGGUCUGGACUCUGGAGACAAUGGCAGUGAAUUGGUUGGGGAAAGGUGUUUGUUUCCUUUCUCCUUUGGGAGGUGGAGUGGGUUGGAGCCAGAGAGUCCCUGAUUUUUAGUGCAUUUUGUUGUAGAGUAGCCACAUGGUCUGUGUUGUUUUCUGCUGGUUGAUGAACCGAUUUUCAGUUUGAAAAUAGGGUGGUACUUUGACGGCAUCUUGUAAAUCUUUGCUAGUUUCUUCCAUGUUCGUAGAGUGAAGUCUUUUGGCCUUCUGCCUUGCGUCUGGAACGAUAAUAAUGACUAAGGCCUUGUUUAGUUCACCCUGAAAACCAAAAAGUUUUCAAGAUUCCCCGUCACAUCGAAUCUUAUGGCACAUACAUGAAACGUUAAAUAUAGACGAAAACAAAAACUAAUUACACAGUUUAACUGGAAAUCACGAGACGAAUCUUUUGAUCUUAGUUAGUUCAUGAUUGGAUAAUAUUUGUCACAAACAAACGAAAUUGCUACAGUACCCAAAAAAAACUUAAACAAAGCCUAAUGGAAUCAGCGGGGGAGCAUCCGUAUAUUUUAUUUUCUUCAGUUUUGAGACAAUGAUAGCAGAAAUGUGCCAAGUAAAGGGCUCUCCCAUCUCCGCAUUUCUUUUGGGAAACUUGUUUAAGACUGUAUGCGCAUUAAGCUUUGUUAAACGAGGAAUCAGUCGAGUUAGCAUUGUGUUGGAUUUUUUUUUUAAUCUUGUCCACCUGUUUUGUUACAAAUGUAGCCUAGUCAUGGUAACGACUCAUCAUGUGCUUGCUCUUGUGUGAUUUAUUGAUUGAUUGAUAUGAUCUGACUGAAUUAGGAGUCUGUCGUGCAGCAGUAUUCUUGCUGCCUUCCUGAUACUGUUAUCAACAACGAAAGAAGAGUAGCUUUACAUCAAAGAAAAUUUGUAUGGGAGAUUAUCUUUGAGAUUUUUAGCGCUGUAGUUUAGAAUUUUAGUUGAUUCUGGAUACGGCAUAGGUUGAGAUCAGCAAUGAAGAUAUGUCUUAGCAAGCGUUCAAAUAUGAAGUUAGUUUUUUUGUGGCCUAGUAUCUGCCAUGGAAGUAUAAGUAUCUUGUAUCUAUUAUAUACUCUGCUUUUAAUCCACAAUUUGUGUGAAACUUAUCAAAGAACGUUAUGCAUUUUCUGAUAGUUUGUCUCUUGAUUUUUCCAGUGUGGGCCUCUGAACUUUCUGACCUUGAGUCCUCGAUUUUGUCAUAGAUCAGACAAAUAAUGGAAGAGUUACAAGAUUGCAACUCGAAAUGCCUGGUUGCCCUCCCGGGCUCUUUGGUUCUGCAUCUCUUUAGGCUGUUUGGCCAGCAGGAUCAGAGUUCAUGGCAGAAGUACAUACUAGCUUACUUUCUGUUGGUCAGGAAUGACUACUUCUCUGGGGAGUCGAAGAAACACUCAGAUGUGUUCUGUGAUAUUUCAGAAUUAGAUUUCUUUCCAUAUGCUACAGAUUUGGAUAGUGAAGAACUUGAACUGAAGGAGCAGAAACCUAUUUCGAAGGCUCAAUCAGGAGGUGAUUCAAGUAGCAACAGAUCAAAUGAUUGCUACUUCCCAGGCCUUCAUGAUGACCUGUCUCAAGACUGCCUUGCUUGGGCAAGCAGAUCAGACUACCCUUCCCUUUCUUGUCUGAACAAAAGAUUCAAUUUGUUAAUUAACAGUGGAUAUCUGUACAAACUGAGAAGGAAAUAUGGCAUCGUUGAGCACUGGGUGUAUCUCGCUUGUAGCUUGAUGCCCUGGGAAGCAUUUGAUCCUUUGCGGAAGCGGUGGAUGAGGCUCCCAAGAAUGCCAUGCGACGAGUGCUUCUCCUGUGCAGAUAAGGAAUCACUUGCCGUCGGAACACAGCUGCUUGUCUUUGGCCGUGAAUAUACUGGCCUUGCUAUUUGGAUGUACAACUUACUGACUCGCAGUUGGUCCCCAUGCACUCCAAUGAAUCUGCCCCGCUGCCUUUUUGCCUCGGGAAGCUCAGGUGAGAUUGCUAUUGUUGCUGGUGGGUGUGAUAAGGAUGGACAGGUGCUGAGAUCUGUUGAGUUGUACAACUCAGAGAUUGGCCACUGGGAGACUAUCCCAGACAUGAACCUGCCCAGGCGGCUCUCUUCAGGUUUCUUCAUGGAUGGCAAGUUUUACGUUAUUGGGGGUGUAUCGAGUCAGAGGGAUUCAUUGACUUGUGGAGAGGAAUAUAACCUUGAAACAAGGACCUGGAGAAGAAUACUUGAUAUGUACCCUGGUGGAACCAGUGCAUCUCAAUCGCCUCCCCUUGUUGCUGUUGUGAAUAACCAGCUCUAUGCUGCUGAUCAGUCAACAAAUGUGGUCAAGAAGUAUGACAAGGUAAAUAACGCCUGGAACAUAGUGAAGCCAUUGCCUGUUAGAGCUGACUCAUCCAAUGGUUGGGGUCUAGCUUUCAAGGCUUGUGGCGAUAGAUUGCUAGUAAUUGGAGGGCAUAGAGGACCUCGUGGCGAGGUAAUACUGCUGCAUUCCUGGUGCCCCGAAGGUGGGGAAGAUGGUGCUGACUGGGAGGUUCUAUCGGUGAAGGAACGUGCAGGCGUCUUCGUUUACAACUGUGCAAUAAUGGGGUGCUGAGUUACCUUUGCUUCAGUACAUGCCGCUGGUUUAGAAAGCCAACCAUUUCUUGCUGCCAUUUAGCUACCCUUUAUAAUGACUUGUAAUUCAGAAAUGACACACCCCCCAUUUCGCCGAGCUCUCAGUUGAUGAAUGUUUUGUAGAGAGCAUAGAGCAUUGAGUUCAGUUUACCUGGAACUACUCUUUUUCUGUUAAACUCGUUCAGAAUUCUUUGUUCUUGUCCAGUAUGAAUUUUAUGCAGUAUUCUUUAUUCACCAUUGUUGGAAAAUUUAUCUGCGUCAUUGUCCUGAGACAAAUCUUAGGCCUCGAUUUUCAAUGCACCGUACUUCCGUACUGAUAUUCAGAAAUCUUGUAGUCAGCGCAAACAACAGUCAGAAGUCAGAACUUUGUUGUGUGCAAUACUUUCAGAUUUAUAUUAGCCAUACUUUCGUAUUAUCCUAUAAUUCGAUUAUUCUGUUCACACCUAAAUUUUAAUUGCAAAAGUUUGACCAGUGA